rnacentral:misc_RNA from 1 species
AACCCAUCAAUGGAUUCUCCCACCUGAAACAAAAAUAACCAAAACAUCAUGGUUUUUACAAUGGCCAGUAAUUUCAUUAAGCAACACUAUAAAUGUACUAUUUUAUUUCACUGCACCUAUUAACAUAUACAGUAAGGACCCAAGGAUAGAACACUGCAGACGCAGGCUAACGCAACGCAUAUGCUAUUUUAUGCCUUCAACCAUUAGAGAAAAAUGAAUAAAGUGAGCUCAAUUCUCCUUAAUAGGUAUGGAAAAUACUUAUAAUGAUUGAUCUUUCUCUCAGAUAUGUCAAUUCAUAAGGGCAUCCAUGAGUUGAAUUCACCCCCAUCAUAAGCCUCAAAAAGCUUUCAAUAAUUUGGCACUAUUGUAAAGAAAAAUUUUUGAAUUGUAACAAAAUUUUUUAAUCCCUACAACUUAAUAGGAAAGGCUAAAGCAUGCGACUGAUGAAGCAUACUUAUGGGUAAACAAAAAAUCAA